rnacentral:rRNA from 1 species
GUGCCAGCCGCCGCGGUAAAACGUAGGAUCCGAGCGUUAUCCGAAUUCACUGGGCGUAAAGCGCGUGUAGGCGGUUCGGUAAGUUGGAUGUGAAAUCUCCUGGCUCAACUGGGAGGGGACGUUCAAUACUGUCGGACUAGAGGACGGCAGAGGAAGGUGGAAUUCCCGGUGUAGUGGUGAAAUGCGUAGAUAUCGGGAGGAACACCAGUGGCGAAGGCGGCCUUCUGGGCCGUUUCUGACGCUCAGACGCGAAAGCUAGGGGAGCAAACGGGAUUAGAUACCCCCGUAGUCC